rnacentral:rRNA from 1 species
GACGUAGGGUCCAAGCGUUGUCCGGAUUUACUGGGCGUAAAGAGCGCGUAGGCGGCUCGUUAAGUGUGAAGUGAAAUCUCCAGGGCUCAACCCGGAAACUGCUUUACAUACUGGCGAGCUGGAGUGAUGCAGAGGUUUGUGGAAUUCCUGGUGUAACGGUGAAAUGUGUUGAUAUCGGGAAGAACACCAGUGGCGAAGGCGCUCUACUGGGCCACAACUGACGCUGAGGGACGAAAGCUAGGGGAGCGAAAGGG